AGUUGCAGCCUAAAGCUGCAGAAGUGAAAAUGCUGCUCCUGGCUGGCUGGCUGGCUGAUCGAUCGAUCGAUCGAUCUCAGAUUCAGCAGUUGCUGGAAGGGAUUGGGGGUAAGAAGGAGCUGCUGGGACUCAACCAGGACAAGCCCUGAGACUGUAGGUGACUCACCUGGAGGAGUAAGUCACUGAGGACUCAUUGCACAGCAGAGAGAAAAUGUAGGCACAUGCAAGCAGUCAGUAGAUGUGCUAUUCAGGAAAUCUGCCCUCCUGUCUCAUUCUGUGCACAGGAGGGACCAGCUCUGGGGAUGAAUCAGGGUUAUGUAGUGAAGAAAGAUGUUGGCUGUAUGACCCCUGCUUCAUUUGUUGUGGACAUUGGAAGGUGUGUGGCAAAUGAGGCAAGGGAUGGCAGAAAGAGCAAGCAAGGAAUCUAUGCUGGUCCACAGAAUUCCUGUGUAAUGCUGGGAUAAUCCAAUAUAUUGAUAGCUGCCAUCUGCUAGUUUCUGAGCUCCAUGGAAUGCCACCCAGAUUCUAUCCCAGUGUAUGAAUCACUACACCCAAAUGAAUGGAAAAGAACUAUUGUGCACAUUCCCUUUGCUGGGGCCCAGCCCACCUCUAGGGCACUAAAUUAGGACUCAGGAAACCUGAUCUCUGCUUCCAGCUCUGCCACUGAGGUGGGAAAUGUGUUGUGCCUCUUUCCCCUCCCAUCAGUUGCUUGUCUUGCCUAUUGUAAUUGUAAGCAAUUUGGAGCUGGGACUCUUUCACUCUAUUCUUCUAGCACCUGACCACAAUGGGACGAUGGUCUCAUAUGGGGCCUCUAGAUGCUACCAUAAGCAUCAUCAUCUUCCCUGCUCAAGUCAAAGGACAGACGCCCAUUUGGUUCAGAGGGAGGUGGCUCAAGCCUUAAAUUGCAUCAGAGCAAAAUGUGACAUGUGGAGCAAUCUCAGUGGAUGUCCUGAUUAGCUGCAAGGAUAAGGAGGAAGCUGGACCUCCUGACUGGAGGAGGGGUUGUGGCUCAGUUCAAGGAAGCUGGGGAAGAGCUGCACAGGGCUAAACGCUCUUUCCCUCUUAGAACUAUUGUAAUUAAAUGCCACUCUGUGGCAAGCAGAGUUCCUUCCCUGUGGUUUGAUGGAGCCCCUGGCAGCUUGGCCUUCUCGGGCAGAUGUCCUCCCUUGUGUUUCUAGCCCAAAAGGGUGUUUGUUUGUUUUUUCCUGCUUAAAACUCUAGGAUUUCUUAAAAAUUGCUGAAUGAGUUGUGACCCAUACCAGUGAGCACAGCACGUAGCCUGCCAGGACCCGAGGCUCUGGGACUUCAUGGAAAAUGAAGAUUCAAAAGGAGGUUUGUAAGGUAAACUAAAGCCAAGGAGGCUUAAAAAGAACUGAGAUUAAUUGCCUUAAUAUAAACAGCAUUUUCUGGGAUGUCUGGAAUCAGCAUUUCUUCUGCCAUGCUGCCAAUCCUGACAACUUUAUUGAAAACUCCAGCUCCAGGAGCUGUAAGAAUUUCAGCUUUCAUUAAACAAACAAAAAAAAUAGAAGUUUACAGCCACCUGAUUAUGGAAAAAAAAACUGGAAAAUGGAACUCUAGCAUAACCUGAAAGCUCAAAACCAGCAAAGUAAAAGGAUCUCAAAUGUAUUGUGUGUAAAGAUGUGGGGUUUUUUUAAAGACAAACCAUCUCAUUGUUUUGUUCUGACUCAUGAUUUCUAAAUGCCUGCCAUUGGCAGUAAUGCUUCUGUUCAGUGCUGACAGCCCUAGACAAUAAUGGAUAACUCUUAGCUAACACUUCUUAGUGGUAGAUUUCAAGGCAUUUUACAAUGGAGUUUGGUAUCAUU